GUCGAGCGAAGGAUAAGAGCUUGCUCUUAUGAAGUUAGCGGCGGAGGGUGAGUAACACGUGGGUAACCUGCCCAUAAGACUGGGAUAACUCCGGGAAACCGGGGCUAAUACCGGAUAACAUUUUGAACCGCAGGGUUCGAAAUUGAAAGGCGGCUUCGGCUGUCACUUAUGGAUGGACCCGCGUCGCAUAGCUAGUUGGUGAGGUAACGGCUCACCAAGGCACGAUCGUAGCCACCUGAGAGGGUGAUCGGCCACACUGGGACUGAACACGGCCCAACCCACGGGGGCAGCAGUAGGGAAUCUUCCGCAAUGGACGAAAGUCUGACGGACACCGCCCGGAGUGAUGAAGGCUUUCGGGUCGUAAAACUCUUUGUUAGGGAAGAACAAGUGCUAGUUGAAUAAGCUGGCACCUUGACGGUACCUAACCAGAAAGCCACGGCUAACUACGUGCCAGCAGCCGCGGUAAUACGUAGGUGGCAAGCGUUAUCCGGAAUUAUGGGGCGUAAAGCGCGCGCAGGUGGUUUCUUAAGUCUGAUGUGAAAGCCCACGGCUCAACCGUGGAGGGUCAUUGGAAACUGGGAGACUUGAGUGCAGAAAGGAAAGUGGAAUUCCAUGUGUAGCGGUGAAAUGCGUAGAGAUAUGGAGGAACACCAGUGGCGAAGCUACUUUCUGGUCUGUAACUGACACUGAGGCGCGAAGCGUGGGGGAGCACACAGGAUUAGAUACA
rnacentral:rRNA from 1 species